AUUGAACGCUGGCGGCAGGCUUAACACAUGCAAGUCGAGCGGGGUGAUGGUGCUUGCACUAUCACUUAGCGGCGGACGGGUGAGUAAUGCUUAGGAAUCUGCCUAUUAGUGGGGGACAACAUCUCGAAAGGGAUGCUAAUACCGCAUACGUCCUACGGGAGAAAGCAGGGGAUCACUUGUGACCUUGCGCUAAUAGAUGAGCCUAAGUCGGAUUAGCUAGUUGGUGGGGUAAAGGCCUACCAAGGCGACGAUCUGUAGAGGGUCUGGGAGGAUGAUCCGGCACACUGGGACUGAGACACGGCCCAGACUCCUACGGGAGGCAGCAGUGGAGAAUAUUGGACAAUGGGGGGAACCCUGAUCCAGCCAUGCCGCGUGUGUGAAGAAGGCCUUAUGGUUGUAAAGCACUUUAAGCGAGGAGGAGGCUCUUUUGGUUAAUACCCAAGAUGAGUGGACGUUACUCGCAGAAUAAGCACCGGCUAACUCUGUGCCAGCCGCCGCGGUAA
rnacentral:rRNA from 1 species